UGUAGAUAUCAGUUAGGGACAUGGCUUAUUGGGACCUUAGCAGUAGUGGGUUAGUGGCUGGACUUGUUCCUAAAGUUCUUUUCUGACCUAAAUGAUUCUUUCAUUCUGUGAUUCCAUAGUCUUGAUUGUGACAAGAGUUUUUCUACUUUCCCUUCUGCCAGUGUUGCACUGUUCCAAAUAUUCCUCAAUAUCUCUUUCAAUCAGCAUCUUUCCUUAAUGUUUUGAUUGCUUUCCUUGGGCUUUGGCUGCUGUGUAUGUUUUCAGAGCCAAGAGAUGCAUUCCUUUGAAUGUCCUCCUUCUCACUAACCAGAAUAGUUUAUACAGCCUUUGAUCAGGAAACCUGGAAUGACAGUAAUUGUACUGAAGCUUGCUGGGUGCACUCCACCUCCAGACAGAAGGCAUUAAUACAGCUGCUCUCCUGUUUUAAGCAAGAAAUUUCAAAACCAGACAUGCAACUUGGAACAAUUUGGAUAUGUAUGUGAAGAUGGGUCACUGAACAUGCACUACACUGGAGAAGGGGCUGAGCUGUUUCUUUCAAGUUUGGAGAUGUCCACGGGUGUUUUGCAUACUUAGGAAUGGUUUCACCUUGUGUGCACUGAGAUGAGGUGCAGGAGCUGCUGAGGAUUCCACUGUUGCAAGGUCAAAGCCGAAAGCAGAUCCCCAGCGUGCUGCGGCACCCCGGACACGUGCAGGGGGAGGACAUGGGAGUGUACAACACUGAUAUCCUCAGUUUGCCCCACCUGGGGGGAAAACCUCCAAAAGGAAGGUCUGCGAUUCAAUCAAGUGAAUUAAAUGUCUGGACAACAGAAAAUUAACAUGGAAAAGCUUUGAUUGCUUUGAUCUGUCGUGACGUGCUUUUACCAAGAGCGUUCAUCUCUCUGACUUCCCAUCCCCCAUCAAAACAAAGGAAAGGACCAGAAGAAAAUAUUUCAAUGACAUUUUUGAAAAAAAAGUUUUAUUAUACAGUUUCCCCCCUCUAGUUCCUGAUUAUGCCUGACUUCUACUUCAUUUGCCCUCUCAGAAAAGGUUAAACACCAAGAAUGGCUCACAUAUUGCUCUCCAGGGAAAAAGACCAUGAUAGCUUCCGAGCUGUGACUGUCAUUACUGUAAAGCAUUUAUGAGAAAUCACACAAGCUACUCCACUAAAAUGGAUACAUUUCUCUGCAGCAACUUUUAUUUGGACUCUAUACCAGCUGUAGCUGUGAGUACAGCUGGGUGGAGAGAAAGGGAUAGAAAAACAAAAUUAAUUUCUUCUUGCUGAGUCUUCUAAUCUGUGAUUUUUUGUUUUUAAUUUAAAAAAUAUAACUGAGACCUGAACUUAACUACUGGAGUUCAGUAUUCCAUUUCAAAUGAAAAGAAAAUGUGUUUUGUACACACAAAUCUUCUGUAAAUGUUUCUAGAUUUGUUAGGCAAAACAGUUACUUUAAGAGAAAUGAGCAAUUUGGAUUGAGUGCUUCUUGAUUAGUGACUUAAUGACAUUUGUUACUUUGUAAAAUGGGAUAUCUUCUUAAAAAUUCUGCACAGGAACUGCUGCUGGAGUGGUUCUGGAAAUGAAGUGGUUAAUGAUGGUCAGGAAGACAGCCUGUAGAUAAAACAGAAACAUACACUGUUAAUUUAAUUCAAAUAUGGAAAUGCUUGCUGUUAAGUAAUGGUUUCUAGUAUACAUCGCUGGGUUAAUCUUCACCCUUUAGCCUUCAUCACUGAGGAUGUUUAAGGUCCCAGAGCAAGUGUCUUAAAUGCAUGUCCUUUGCUUUGCAAUCAGGGUAGCCUGAAUCCACCCUCAGACACUAAUGGCAUCAUAACUCAAUCCCCACAGGGCCCCGUUCCUCCACAUAUCAUGUCCCUCCUGGCUGAGACAAGGGCCCUGUAGAAGAUGAUAUGUGAUCCUGUGAUUAAAGAUAUUGCAAAAAAUCAGGCUGCAAAAGUAAUGUUCUGGUCUUUCUCAACCUUUGAAUAGGCUUAGCAAGAUAUUCUUUAAAAAGUUUAACAUUUGGGUUAGUUGUUUUUGUAAAAACCUAAAAAUAAGGAGAUGAAGUACCCACAGGAAAAAGCAGACCCCUUCCCAGAAUAAUAUUGGAUUCUGAUCUGUGAUCUGUUAAGCUGGAUCCAGACUGCUGGCUCUCUAGGUUGUAUCAUUUAAUAAAAGAGCCUGCAGCAGCUGUGAGAGCUUAAUGGCUGUUUAGGCAGCUGUUUAGACCAGCACGGAGUGGGGCAGUGUGCUUUGCCAUCCAUUGCACAGACAUGUCCCCUGGGCUCAGCUUCCCAUUUUGAAAAUGAGCAGUUUAUAGGCAAUCCUCUCCAUGCAAACAGAAUGUCUCUGUCCCUGGCCUCCUAUCCAGUGAUCAUUUAACAUGGCUCCCAUUCUCCACCCCACUUUCCUUCUUCCACUUUUCCUCCCUGCCUCUCUUGCCAGCCCUGGCUCACUUCUCCAGGUGCAGAUCUUUGCCUGGUCUGAGACUCCCUCUUGCUACUCAUCUGCCUCUUAUCUAGGACCGCGUUCCCCAAGCUUGCAGGACACCCAGAGAGGGAGGAAUGGGAGCUCACUCUGAAUCAGGGACUGCCUCUUGCAGCUCAGUGUAGAAACACUUGUGGGUGGAAGUCUCGUAGUGAUCCCAGAUUGCUCUGUGAAAAAGUUCAAACAAUUCGAUCAUGAGGAAGACCUGUAGUGAAAAAGUCAAUGAGAAUGGACUCUUCAGUCCAUCCAAAUCUGCUGAACUCUAUCAGAAUUCUUGACAGCUCACUGCUGUCCUCAUAAAAUCAAAAUUUCCCCAUUUUUUUAUGACACUGAAAGUUUUCUGGGGGAUAGAAAAAGCAGAACAACUCAACUCCAAUGUGUUUGAAGCCUUCACCCUGAAGUACAUGAAAGAGAAUAGAGAUUGACAGUAAAAUGACUUAAAAAUAUUUUCUAAGUAAGGAAAAGUGUGUGCUUCCAUGAUUUUGUUCUUGGAAACUGUCAAAUCCUCAGCAGAAAUGUGCCCCAAUACAUGGUACAAAU